UAUGUAUGUAUGUUGUAUGUAUGUAUUCACACCAGAAAAUUCUUGAGCAUGAAAGUUAUCUUUUGCAGAUUGAAAUUGGAGAGUUUUUCAUUGGAGGUGCUUCUACAGGUGUUUGUGAGGGUGGUUGUGCUGCUAUUGUGGAUUCAGGAACAUCUUUGCUUGCUGGUCCAAACCCUGGAAAAUUAUUCAAAAAUUGAAGAGGCUAAAAUAGAGGAGCUCAUGAAGGCAGUAGCAGAUUCUAGUGCCAAAGUGAUUGUCAAUGGAGGAGUAGUUGGAGAGAUGGCUUUGCAUUUCUGUGACCGUUAAGAGCUUAUGGUUCUGAAAAUCAGCUCAAAGUUUGAACUAUGACGAUUUUGCAGAACAACUGGUUCUGUGCUAUGUUGAAACUCAACCAACCGAAUGCAAAUGAUCUUGGAUAUGUGGAUUCGUUUCAGUUUCAGGAAAUUGGUGGUGUCAGGGUAU